AUAUCAAUAAGCGGAGGAAAAGAAACCAACAGGGAUUGCCUCAGUAACGGCGAGUGAAGCGGCAAGAGCUCAAAUUUUAAAUCUGCCUUUUUUAGGCCGAGUUGUAAUUUGUAGAGGAACAUUCGGUGACGUCUAGGUCCGAGUCUUCUGGAAGGAAGCGCCGAUGAGGGUGAGAGCCCCGUAUGGUCGGCUGCCUAGCCUGUGUGAAGCUCCUUCGACGAGUCGAGUAGUUUUUGGGAAUGCUGCUCAAAAUGGGAGGUAAAUUCCUUCUAAAGCUAAAUACUGGCCAGAGACCGAUAGCGCACAAGUA
rnacentral:rRNA from 1 species